rnacentral:rRNA from 1 species
UACGAAGGAUUCGAGCGUUAUCCGGAUUUAUUGGGUUUAAAGGGUGCGUAGGCGGGUUUGUAAGUCAGUGGUGAAAGCCCUCAGCUUAACUGAGGAAUUGCCGUUGAUACUGCAAGUCUUGAGUACACUUGAGGUGGGCGGAAUGUAUCAUGUAGCGGUGAAAUGCUUAGAUAUGAUACAGAACACCAAUUGCGAAGGCAGCUCACUAAAUUGUAACUGACGCUGAGGCACGAAAGCGUGGGUAUCAAACAGG